rnacentral:lncRNA from 1 species
UUCAAGAUGUAAUGAAGUAGUUUCAUUGAGGAUACAAUUGUCACGUAGAAGUUUACUAAAAUUAGGAUAUGAUAGUAAAAGCUCCAGAAAAUUUGACAUGGCCACUGUCGUAUACACAUUUGGAAACAGUGUGUACAUAUAUGUAGAAUAAAACCACAAUUGCUCAAACAGUGUAAUUUCUCGCAUGCGAGCACAGGCGCAAGCAUCAGACUUAGUUCAGAAACAGUUGGAAAAUAAAUAGUGAUAACCACAGGUUGGCCAAAGUACAAGCAGAAUCAUCAGCUAAAAUAAAUGUCGUCCAACAGUCACGCUUGAAAGAUCGAGCAUUAGCGCAGAUGGGAAAUCACAACAUGGUUCCUUCUGGAUGACACAGGGCCUCAAACUCGUUUGCACAUCCUGUUAAGAAUCAUCUACUCCAAUCAAUAUCUACAAUUACAGUUCACACGGUACUACAAGUACAUGUACCAGGAAUUAGCAAGAUGACUCCAGGACAUGUACGCUAGAUCAAUAUUGUUGAUUCUAAAAGCGUUGUUAGAACAUGGAUUGCAACAAGAAAAAAAAAGGCAUGAAUAAGAUGAACUAGUAAUGCUAUGAGAAAAUUCAAUUGGAUAUCAAAGUGCAGUUUCAUUAAGAUCAACAAAGUGAACCAGAAGAAAACACAGCAGAUAUAAUCUAUCUCCAGGCACGUCCGCUAACUCCCUGUUAACCAUUCUUUCACAUGCAAGUCAUAACAUUCAUGCACAAAACUUACUUUAAAGCUUCAAGGACAUAUAGAUACUCUUUACAAAUCAAGGAUGGGAACAACAAGCACAUCUCUUUUCCUGAUUACUAGUCUAAUAAAAGCUGCAAUUGGGGGAAAUUGACAAAAGGAAAGAAACAUAGUGCAUGGAUAAUCGAAUAGUAGUCAUACCCCCAGAAGGAUGAAGCCAAGUGUUGAGAUGAUUAGAUGAUUCUGCAUCAUAACAUAGUAUUCAAGCCUGAAUUUCAGAGAAUUUCAUAAGGAGCAUAGUCCUGCAUGCAAAAGUAAAAAAGAUCAUCAAUAGAAUUUCAGAGACAAAAAGUACCAACUACCAAGGGAGUACUCGUAAGGAAUAAUACAUUAAUACUUAAUGGGAUUGGAUUUGUAAAUGUUGGAUUUAAGCUGGGAAAUGAUGGCAUAGGCUAGAAUUAACCAAAGCUAAAAACAAGUUGCAGUUGAUUCGUGCAGGCAUAAACAGAAGGGAAAAUGAUGUAAAGUAUAGAGGUGCGGCAAAUAAAACAAAUGACACAGCUCGAUCACAUAAAAAAUAGUUCUAGUAAGUCUAGUAUGUAUGAACUAUGAAGCAGAUCUUAAAACUCAUUAAACAAUUUUUCUUCUGGGGAAUUAACUGCAGUAGAACAAAGCAAAGCUUGCAGCAGUGAAAGAUAUGUUCAGCAAAUUUGAUUUGGCUAUUCUGCUGAUGUUUCACUUGUAGAAGUACCAUAUUACCAGAGCAUAGCUCUGGAAGAUUCGGUCUUAUUUUCCUGUUGGCAGGGUCUGCUAUUUCUUUUAUCUAAUGAUGAAGCAAUCGCCCCAUUCUGCAAGAAACACACCAAUGUCAUGGUUAGUGCAGAGUUGUGGGCGCGGACGAAAGAAAGGAAUGAGUGUGCACAUAAUUUUCGCACACAAGAACCAGAGGCAAAUGUGAUCGAAAAAUUUCACGAGCACGCCAAUGAAUAUUCACAUAAAAACGUGUGGUAAUAGGAACAAUAAGAUCCAACUAGUUUUGAGGAACUGAUGGCCCUAAACUGACAACAAAUUUGAGCAACCAGCAAGCAGUAGCACACCUAUCUGUGUUCCGCCUGCUACCACUGAGCUCGAGCCGACGACUGUGAUUUCUUCAUAUAAAAGUACUAACUAUCAUGUGGAAACGUUUAUAAAAAUGAAUUGGGGAAAAGUACGAUUAGAUUGGAAGAACGGUUAUACUCAUGGAUAAGGGAAGAAGAGAACAUACCCUUCAUAGUUGAAUCGCGGAAGACCGUCAACUCCUGUACCUCUAUAGAAUCGACGCCCCGGACGACGACAUCGGACAUAGACGAGCCAUCGCUGCCAAAUAAAUCAACGCGCACAGUCGAUUCAGAGGAACACAGGGCGAGAUUAAGCUUCUAUGCCGUAGAUCCUUACCCAGGUACAUGAGAGGGAGGAGAGAGAGAGAGAGAGAGAGAUAUGACACCGGGCACAUUUUUCCAACCCUAGCUCCCACCUGCUCCCAUGGAUUACGGCGGCACGGGAGAGAAGAGAAGGCAGAGGAAGGGAAACGAUGAGAGAGAGGACGAGUACAGAAUUCUGAGCCACUUUAAGGUUAAAUC